UACAGAGGGUGCGAGCGUUAAUCGGAAUUACUGGGCGUAAAGCGUGCGCAGGCGGUUUUGUAAGUCUGUCGUGAAAUCCCCGGGCUCAACCUGGGAAUUGCGAUGGAGACUGCAAGGCUUGAAUCUGGCAGAGGGGGGGGUAGAAUUCCACGUGUAGCAGUGAAAUGCGUAGAGAUGUGGAGGAACACCGAUGGCGAAGGCAGCCCCCUGGGUCAAGAUUGACGCUCAUGCACGAAAGCGUGGGGAGCAAACAGG
rnacentral:rRNA from 1 species